rnacentral:rRNA from 1 species
ACGCGAAAGUCCCCUUCGGGGGACAAGUAGAGUGGCGCACGGGUGAGUAACACGUAGGUAAUCUACCUUCGGAUGGGGAAUAACAACCGGAAACGGUUGCUAAUACCGCAUAAUGCAGCGGCACCUAAUGGUGACAGUUGUUAAAGCGGGGGAUCGAAAGACCUCGCGUCUGAAGAGGAGCCUGCGGCGGAUUAGCUAGUUGGUAGGGUAACGGCCUACCAAGGCGACGAUCCGUAGCCGGCCUGAGAGGGCGGUCGGCCACACUGACACUGACAUACGGGUCAGACUCCUACGGGAGGCAGCAGUCGGGAAUUUUGGGCAUGGGCGAAAGCCUGACCCAGCAACGCCGCGUGAAGGAUGAAAUCCCUCGGGAUGUAAACUUCGCAAGAACGGGAAGAAUAAGUAGGGGACAAUACCCCCUAUGAUGACGGUACCGUUUGUAAGCUCCGGCUAACUCCGUGCCAGCAGCCGCGGUAAUACGGGGGGAGCAAGCGUUG